rnacentral:rRNA from 1 species
AGAGCGAACGCUGGCGGCAGGCCUAAUACAUGCAAGUCGAGCGGCCACUUCGGUGGCAGCGGCGGACGGGUGAGUAACGCGUGGGAAUGUGCCCUUUGGUACGGAACAACUGAGGGAAACUUCAGCUAAUACCGUAUGUGCCCUUCGGGGGAAAGAUUUAUUGCCAUUGGAGCAGCCCGCGUUGGAUUAGCUAGUUGGUGGGUAAAGCCACAAGGCACGAUCCAUAGCUGGUCUGAGAGGAUGAUCAGCCACACUGGGACUGAGACACGGCCCAGACCUCCUACGGGAGCAGCAGUAGGGAAUCUUGCGCAAUGGGCAAAGCCUGGACGCAGCCAUCGCCGCGUGAAUGAUGAAGGUCGUUAAGGAUUAGUAAAAUUCUUUACAACCGGGGAAGAUAAUGACGUACCGGAGAAGAAGCCCG